UGAGAUCACGACCUGAGCCAAAACCAAGAGCCAGUCGCUCAACCGAAUGAACCAUCCAGGCGCCCCAAGGGCCAAGGCAGCCACAGAAGCAGAUGGCUGUGAUAUAGAGUGAUUUUGGUGACAAGCUGCCCCUCGCUGCCGCGGAGACGCCGGAGACGCCGUGCUGGGUUUGAGACGCUGGGAGGGCAAAGCUGGGCCGGGACUAGGAACCUACCCGCUACUUGGGGCCAGACGCUCACGUGAGCGCGGGGCGGGGCCAGGCGCACACCUGGGCGCAGGGCGGGACCGGGCGCUGGGCGGGACCAGGCGCACACCAGAGCGCGGGGCGGGGCCAGGUGGUGGUCUCCGCCCCUCCUUCUCCCUCCACUUCUCCCAGGCUCCCAGUCUUGCCUUCCUAAGCUGCUAAGUGCUAGGGACACCGGAGACAGCUUAGGUGGCCUGUGAAAGGAGAUCCCUGGGGACAAAGCCAGGAUCCAACCCCUGAAGCUCCGUGGAGGGGGUUGGGGGGUGCUGUGUCCAGGGCUGCCCAUGUACUGUCUCACCUGAUCUUGCCCGCAAGUCUAGGAAGUAGGUCAUCAACACCCUGUUUCACAGGAACUGUGCUCAGACUCCUAACCGCAAAGUUGACUCAACAGACAACCAGGGUCAAGAAUGGAAGGCACCAGUGCCAUUCCCCCCCCCCCCCCAACCCCCACCCCGUGGAGUAGAAAUGAAUUUGAGGGUGAGCGUGGGGGAAUUCUGCUGCUGUUAAAUGUCAGAAGAAUUGUUAUGGGGAAGAGGGAGACUUUUGGCCAGCCACAGCAGAGAGCCUCCAUAUUUUGGAACUCCAGUUGCAAUCCCUUCUUUUUGGGGCGGCGGGGGUCCACCCCCCACCUCAUUCCAGCUGGUUACCGUAGGGCUGCCAAUCACAAGGGCCUGCCUCUCCUCUCCUGGGGCAGGCCUAGAACUCAAACCAGGCAACAGGACUCUAAUUCCUAGAAUCACCAAUGGGGAGAGUGCGUCUGACAGCCACAUCCUGGAAAGGUGGUCCAUAAACUCAACCAGUCAAGAGGAAGUGGUAACUGGGCCAGAACCCUGGUCUGUGAGACUCCCGAGACCAAGCUCAGGCACUCCUAACCUUAAAGACAUCUCUCGUGGGACCACCAGCCAGCCAAAGGCACAAAAGCCACCUCCCCUCCGGGGAGGUGCGGGGACCCAGCCUUUCCUGCAGGGGCGUGGCCAAUGUGUUCCAAGAAAUCCCCCCACCUCCAUUUUUUUUUUUUUUUAAGAUUUUAUUUAUUUAUUUGACAGGAGAUCACAAGUAGGCAGAGAGGCAGGCAGAGAGAGAGAGAGAGGGAAGCAGGCUUCCUGCGGAGCAGGGAGCCCAAUGCGGGGCUCGAUCCCAGGACCCUGAGAUCAUGACCCGAGCCGAAGGCAGCAGCCCAAACCACUGAGCCACCCAGGCGCCCCAUUAUUCUGCUUAGCUAUUCGGCGUCAGUUUCUGGGGCUUGAAACGGAAGAACCCCAACUUUGAACAGUGUUUCUAGAAGGAGUAGCGGGCCGAUCAUCAUAGAUGUUGCACUCGGGAAAAGCUCUUUAGUUGGAGACUUGAGAAAGGAGAGGUUUGUGCUCUCCCAGAUUCACGUGUUGAAGUUCUCAUGGGAUGGAUGGGAGUUAGAGGCAGGGCCUUCCAGAAUUGGAGGCCACCCCCACCCCCACCGUGAUGGGAUGAGUGCCCUCUGAGGAAGACAGAGGGCGCUAGUGAACAUACAAGAAGACAGCGGUGUGGCAACCAGGAGGAGGCCUCCCCAAGGACUCAACCUUGGGGGCACCUGAUCUUGGACGCCCCCGUCCCUGGGUAGAGCAGCCCACCCUGAGGCACGGCAGCGUGGGGGCCGUUCGGCGAGAGUAUUGUGGGGUCAGUUGGGGAAUGAAUGGGAGGGAGGGUCUGGAGCACCAUGGCCAGCGAACUUGUGUUAGACGCCCUCCAUUCCGGCGUGGGCCUUGACCAAGUCCCUUUACUCCAAGUCCCUUUGCUCCCGGAGCCUCAAGGAGGCCAGGUCACGAAUAUUAUUUAUCUCAUCAGGUCUCUAUGAGGCACAUGGAGAUAAUGCAGACGAAGCCCUUAGCACAUUUCCAGGCUUCUCUCCUCUCCAGAGUGCUCAGGCCAUGAGAAUAACUCUAGACUUAUGGCCCCGUGAAGCAUUACUGAGCGCCUGCAGCGUCCUCUGACCCGCCAGCAGGGGGCUGGGGCUCGAACCUGGGCACUUUCCAUCAAGAGCCCCAGAUCUUUUUUUUUUUUUUUUUUCAGUAUUCCAAAAUUCAUUGUUUAUGCACCACACCCAGUGCUCCAUGCAAUAUGUGCCCUCCACAAUACCCACCACCAGGCUCACCCACCCCCACACCCCCUCCAAAACCCUCAGUUUGUCUCUCAGAGUCCACAGUCUCUCAUGGUUUGUCUCCCCCUCUGAUUUCCCCCAGCUCACUUCUCUCCUUCUCCCAAUGUCCUCCAGGUUAUUCCUUAUGCUCCACAAAUAAGUGAAACCAUAUGAUAAUUGACUUUCUCUGCUUGACUUCUUUCACUCAGCAUCAUCUCCUCCAGUCCCGUCCAUGUUAGUACAAAAGUUGGGCAUUCAUCCUUUCUGAUGGAGGGAUAAUACUCCGUAGGAUAUAUGGACCAUAUCUUCUUUGUCCAUUCAUCUGUUGAAGGGCAUCUAGGUUCUUUCCACAGUUUGGCGACUGUGGCCAUUGCUGCUAUGAACAUUGGGGUACAGAUGGUCCUUCUUUUCACUACAUCUGUGUCUUUGGGGCAAAUACCCAGUAGUGCAAUUGCAGGGUCAUAGGGUAACUCUGUUUUUAAUUUCAUAAGGAAUCUCCACACUGUUUUCCAAAGUUAAGAUCCCCAGAUCUUAACCAGUAUUCUUCCUACCUCCUCUAGGGAGAGGCCCAAAUCCUUCCCACUGUAAGAAGCCUUGACUAUAGACACAUGGUCUCAAAUCCCACCCCAAGAAGUAUGGGGUCCAUUUGGAGAAGAGAUUCCCACAUGCAAAAGGAUGGUGAACUGAGAAGGCAAAUCAUGCAUGAUGAGAGCCAGAGGAGCCAGGAAGCCCAGCGGGAGGAGGGCCCCUCUGCCUGGAUUUCAGGCCAUAUCCAGUGUCUCCAGAAAGAAAAGACUAGAAGCCACCAACCUAAUCCCGAGGCCCCGGGGAAGCGGCAAGCUCCUUUGAGAAGACAAGUUCCCACAGGCUUUAUCUUCCGCUCUCACUCCUCUCCAAGCAGCUCAGGCGCUGGAGAGGAGGAAGGGGGUUGGGGAGGAUCCAGCACCGGACUGGAGAGGGCUGGCAGUGCAGGCUCAGAGCCGGAGGGGCUCCAGGACCUCACCUGGUCGGUGCCCUCAUUCUGCAGCCCAGACAGGGCAGUGACUUGGGCAGAGUCACAGAAAGGGGGUGGCAGAAGCACAGUGAGGACGCAGGUCUCCCAGGCUGGGGGCCAUGCAAGCACAUGGCCCUGCUGCUCCCAGAUGGGAGGAACAUUUCUCCAAGCUCUUUCCGGAGCCCCCCUCCCCUUUCCGCAGACCCUCAACAUGCAACAAUAAGAAAGAGCCCUGGUUUUGGAGCCAGGAGACCUGAGUCUCCAGGGUUCACUCUGAGACUAACUCAUCUGUAAACUUGGGUGAGGUCCCUUACCUCUC